AACUGAUACUACCUGCGGGAACCUGCGGAAGGAUCAUUACCGAGUUAUACAACUCCCAAACCCACUGUGAACCUUACCUCAGUUGCCUCGGCGGGAACGCCCCGGCCGCCUGCCCCCGCGCCGGCGCCGGACCCAGGCGCCCGCCGCAGGGACCCCAAACUCUCUUGCAUUACGCCCAGCGGGCGGAAUUUCUUCUCUGAGUUGCACAAGCAAAAACAAAUGAAUCAAAACUUUUAACAA
rnacentral:misc_RNA from 1 species